CAGAGGGUGCGAGCGUUAAUCGGAAUUACUGGGCGUAAAAGCGCGCGUAGGUGGUUUGUUAAGUUGGAUGUGAAAAUCCCCGGGCUCAACCUGGGAACUGCAUUCAAAACUGACUGACUAGAGUAUGGUAGAGGGUGGUGGAAUUUCCUGUGUAGCGGUGAAAUGCGUAGAUAUAGGAAGGACACCAGUGGCGAAGGCGACCACCUGGACUAAUACUGACACUGAAGGUGCGAAAAGCGUGGGGAGCAAACGAGGAUU
rnacentral:rRNA from 1 species